rnacentral:rRNA from 2 species
CACGCCCUAAACGAUGUCAACUAGGUGUUGGGAGGGUAAAACCUUUUAGUACCGUAGCUAACGCGAGAAGUUGACCGCCUGGGGAGUACGGCCGCAAGGUUAAAACUCAAAGGAAUUGACGGGGACCCGCACAAGCGGUGGAUGAUGUGGAUUAAUUCGAUGCAACGCGAAAAACCUUACCUACCCUUGACAUGUCAGGAACUUUCCAGAGAUGGAUUGGUGCCCGAAAGGGAACCUGAACACAGGUGC